UAAGAAUUAAAUUCUACAAUACUAUUAUAGGAUUAGAACUUAGGCCAUAAGGCCCCUCAAGGGCUGUUGGCCCCAAUCGGGGAUUUACUAAUAUUAUUAUUUAUGUAAAACUAGCUAAUCCACAGCUAUGCUGUGCCCAAUCAACUAAUAUUCUCCUUUCUUGUAAUAGUUGAACAAACCUAAAAACUACCUUAAGAAAAAUCUAUAUAAAUUAAUGAAGGAGAGAGCUAACAAGAAAGAUAAAAGUAGAGGAAAUAGACAAAGAAAGAGGAAAAAACAAAAUAAUUAAGUGUGGAAAACAAAUUAAUUAAUAAAUGGAGAAGAAAUUCAAAGGUAAAACCGAAUCCAUAAAUAAAAAUUAUAAAAAAGAACUCAAUGAAUUGAAAUAUCUAAGUAAUUGAGAAAAAAGUAUUUUUAGUAAUGAAGAAUGAAAAAAAAUCAAAUUUUAGAAUGCAUAGAAUCCUUUCCAAAGUGUUUAUCAAAACCAUAUUAAUUAAUAAUAGAGUAUAGUACCGAGAGGGAAAGUUGAAGGAAGAACCAAAGAAGAAUUGGAGUGAAAAAGAACAAGAAACAAUUAAUUAAAAAAAUCAAUGAGCAAUUAAUAGCUUUAUGAUUUACCUUUUGCAUAAGGGGUCAGCAAGUAAAUAAUUAUAGUAAGAAGAAAAAUCAAAUUGAAUAAUAACUAAUUCUAAUUAUUUGACCCGAAACCUAAUGAUCGUAUCAUCAUCAGAUUUUAUAGAUCGAACCUGUUUAUGUAGCAAGAUAAUAGGAUGAAUGAUGAUAAGAAAUAAAAUAUCAAUCGAAUUAGGAUAUAGCUGGUUGAUCAUGAAAACUAUGGCAGUAGAUAAUUAAUAAAAUAUAUUAAAAGGUACAAACAAUUACUUUAAAAAAUUCGAAAUUUUUAAUUUUAAUAAUUAUUAAUAUUCAGAUUAAUGAUGAUAAGAUCUUUAAUCAAAAGAGAAAUAACUCCAUUUAUAUAUUAAUGUUCCUAAAUAAUUAUUAAGUGAAAAUAAAAUUUAGUCCAUUUUAGAUCUUUUUAAUGUUAGCUUGGAAGUAGCAAUCUUAAUAAGAGUGAGUAAAAUCUCAAAUUCGAUCGUUUAAAUGUGGACUGAAUUGAAAAUAAUAGGAUCUAGAUAAUUUACAUUAAUAAUAAAAAAGAUCUCAAAAUCUUUUGGUAAUGAUCUAAAUUGUUUUACAAUUGUAAUAAUGCUGAUAUGAGUAACGUAAAAAUUUUCAAAUAAAUUUGAGAAAAUUCAAGGUUUUUGAUGAAAAUAAAAAUACAUCAAAAUUAUAUAGUUUCUAAAAUUUAAUUAAUUGAUGAUUUAAUAAUGUUCUAACUGGAAAUGUUUUUACUAUACUAAAACCGACACUGGUGAAUUUGAUCUAAGCAAAGAACCAUUUAAAAGGAACUCGGCAAAUCUACGAUUCUCGACUGUGACCUCAAAGUGCGAUCUGCCAAAUUUUAAGAAAAAAAAGAAUUAUUAUUCUCAUUAAUCAUAUAGUUAUUAUAAUGUUAUGUUAUUUUAAACCACCUUGAAGGGUCCAAUAGCUAAAAGAUCAUAAAAUAUUAACAACUCCACAUCUAAGGUAAAUUAAAAUAAAGAUAUAUUAAAAACUAAUGGUCUAAUUGAAUUUAAUUAAAUUUGAGAUAAUUAAAUAAUAACAAUCAAUCCAAAUGGCUCAUUUAGAAGAAUAUCUACCUAAAAUAUUAAUUGGAUUUUCUUAAAAAACAGAUAGAAGGAUUAAUUUUAAGCUAAUGAAGCAACUGAAAAUUGCUUAUAAGAAUAUAUAUUCGACUGCAAACAAAUUAAAUUUAAUAAUGAUGAGUCGUUUGAACAACUUCCAGUUGUUGAAGGUAAAAUAUCCAAAAGUUUGUGAUGUAAUGGAAGCAUAUCAGACUCAUGAUCUGAAAGUAGCAGUUCGAUUCUGUUCAGACGAAAUGAAAGGAUUUUUUAUGGCCAUCGAAAAUUAUUAUUUGAGCUUUAUGCAUUGAAAAAUGCUUGUAUAGUUCUAUUGGGGGAAGAUUUAAUUAAUCUCCUAUCCAAACCACAAGACUAAGCAAACUUUAAAUAGAUAAUAUUUGGUCUGAUAUCUGCCCGGUGUUAGUAAAUGAAGCAGAUCAAAGAUCUGGAAAUUCUAAUUAACGGCGGCCGUAAUCCUAACGGUCCAAAGGUAGCGAAAUUCCUCGGCAUUUAAUUGAUGUCCCUGCAUGAAUGGUAUAACGAAGAAUCAACUGUCUCUUAAAUGGAUUGCGUGAAAUUUUAAUAAGGGUGCAGAUACCCUUAAAUCUCAGAGGGACGAGAAGACCCUUGAAAUUUAAAUGUUCGGAAAAUCAUCAAGAAUUUUCUUAGACAUUUUAUCUGGGGCGGAUACCUAUUAAAAAGUAACAUAGGUCAAUAAAGAUUAAACAAUCUUCGUAAUGGAAAAAUUUAAUUUGACUGAAGGAGAUUUAUAAAUCUCUCAGGGAAGAUCUUUUUAUCUUCGAUCAUAAUGAUCAAAAGAUUACUAAUCAAUCUUUUCUCAAGAAAUCAUAAUUACUCAAGGGAUAACAGGCUUAUCUUGAAAUAGAGACCUUAUCUUUUUCAAAUUUUGGCACCUCGAUGUCGGCUCUCUUUAUCCUGGUCUUGUAGAUGAGACCAAGGGUCUGGCUGUUCUCCAGAUAAUAAAGAACGUGAGCUGGGUUCAGAACAUCGUAAGAUAGUUCGGCCUCUAUCUUCUGAGAUUAUAGUAAAUAUAGAAUAUUUAAUUUUAGUACGAGAGGACUUAAUUAUUAAGAUCUAUGGUAAAAGGCUACAUCUUUGAAAAUUAAUUUCUGAAUUCAUCUUAAGAAAGAAAUUUUAUUCUUAUACAUAUUUACUUCUCAUUACACUCAUAGAAUAUGAGUCUUCAGGUCUAGACCUUAUCUAAAUAAUUUUUCCUCUUCAUCCAUUUUGAAUUAAAUUGUAUUACAUAUUGUUCUAUUAUUGAUUGGAACGAUGCAUCCAUCUGUAUAAUUAUGUUUUUUAUUCUUA
rnacentral:rRNA from 1 species